rnacentral:rRNA from 1 species
ACGAACGCUGGCGGCGUGCUUAACACCUGCAAGUCGCACGGAAAGGCCCUGCUUUUGUGGGGUGCUCGAGUGGCGAACGGGUGAGUAACACGUGAGUAACCUGCCCUUGACUUUGGGAUAACUUCAGGAAACUGGGGCUAAUACCGGAUAGGAGCUCCUGCUGCAUGGUGGGGGUUGGAAAGUUUCGGCGGUUGGGGAUGGACUCGCGGCUUAUCAGCUUGUUGGUGGGGUAGUGGCUUACCAAGGCUUUGACGGGUAGCCGGCCUGAGAGGGUGACCGGCCACAUUGGGACUGAGAUACGGCCCAGACUCCUACGGGAGGCAGCAGUGGGGAAUAUUGCACAAUGGGCGGAAGCCUGAUGCAGCAACGCCGCGUGCGGGAUGACGGCCUUCGGGUUGUAAACCGCUUUCGCCUGUGACGAAGCGUGAGUGACGGUAAUGGGUAAAGAGGCACCGGCUAACUACGUG